AAAACUAGCCAGUCUUUGGGGUAUGAAACCCAUUUGGGCGAGAGUAGUACUAGGAUGGAUGACCUCCUGGGAAGUCCUCGUGAAAGGGUUUC
rfam:Triticum urartu cultivar G1812 contig1008374, whole genome shotgun sequence.